rnacentral:lncRNA from 1 species
GCCAUUUGCUUAAUAGUUUUAUGUUUCCACUACAGUUAAUACCUUAAAAUAGUAUAUUUAUAAUAAUAACAUGCCAUAACUACCAUAUGUUUAAUAUAUUUCUUCAAAACUGUACCAUUCCAUUAGAUUCUCCUCUUUUUUAAAUACUUAUCCAUUUAAAAUAAUUUUAGAACAAAUCAACUAAACCGAUCACACAAAGAACAUC